rnacentral:rRNA from 1 species
CUACGGAGGCAGCAGUGGGGAAUAUUGCACAAUGGGCGCAAGCCUGAUGCAGCAAUGCCGCGUGUGUGAAGAAGGCCUGCGGGUUGUAAAGCACUUUCGGUUGGGAGGACUGCUUCUAGCACUAAUAUUGUUGGAAGUUGACGUUACCUUCAGAAGAAGCACCGGCUAACUCCGUGCCAGCGGCCGCGGUAAUACGGAGGGUGCAAGCGUUAAUCGGAAUUACUGGGCGUAAAGCGCGCGUAGGCGGCUAGAUCAGUCGGGUGUGAAAGCCCCGGGCUUAACCUGGGAACUGCAUCCGAUACUGUCUAGCUUGAGUACAGGAGAGGAGAGUGGAAUUCCACAUGUAGCGGUGAAAUGCGUAGAUAUGUGGGGGAACACCAAUGGCGAAGGCAGCUCUCUGGCCUGAUACUGACGCUGAGGUGCGAAAGCGUGGGGAGCAAACAGGAUUAGAUACCCUAGUAGUC